rnacentral:rRNA from 1 species
UACGUAGGGGGCUAGCGUUGUCCGGAAUCAUUGGGCGUAAAGCGCGUGUAGGCGGUCCGGUAAGUCCGCUGUGAAAGUCAAGGGCUCAACCCUUGAAAGCCGGUUGAUACUGUCGGGCUAGAGUCCGGAAGAGGCGAGUGGAAUUCCCGGUGUAGCGGUGAAAUGCGCAGAUAUCGGGAGGAACACCAAUGGCGAAGGCAGCUCGCUGGGACGGUACUGACGCUGAGACGCGAAAGCGUGGGGAGCAAACAGG